rnacentral:rRNA from 1 species
AUGGGGCUGCUGUCGAACCGGGUGGAGCGGUCGGAGGUCAGGCCCGGCGACCACAUCUACACCUGGAGGGCCGUCUACGCCUACUCCCACCACGGUAUUUAUGUUGGAGGAAGCAAAGUGGUCCAUUUUACACGAAAGAAGGAAGUUGAAUCUUCGGAUUCAUCCAACUUCAUCUCUGGCCUGAUCUCACAGGCUUCAUCAGAGUGCCCAACAUUCCCAGACUGUGGUUUUCAGCUGGCCGAUAGUGGGGUCGUACUCACCUGCUUGGAUUGCUUUCUUGGCAAUGGCUCCCUCUACUGCUUCGAGUACGGAGUGCCACCUGCAAUUUUCCUUGCAAAAUUUCGUGGGGGAACCUGCACCAUUGCCCAAUCAGACCCAUCGGAGGUUGUGGUCCGGAGAGCUAUGCACUUGCUUCAGAAUGGGUUUGGCAACUACGACAUGUUCGAGAAGAAUUGCGAGGACUUUGCACUCUACUGCAAGACUGGACUUGUACCCGUGGAUGAACCUGGCAUCGGGGUGAGCGGGCAAGCAUCCUCCGCCAUUGGCGUGCCUCUGGCAGCUCUUCUGUCCACUCCAUUCAAGAUUUUUGCUGCCGGUCCGCUUGGAAUGGCCACUGUCACAGCCGGGAUGUACUGUGCCGGUAGAUACAUCACCGACAUAGGAGUGAGAAAGGAUGUCGCCAAAGUCGAAGUGGAGAACUUGUCGUCGCACCUUGGCUUCCGCCGCGUAGAAGACACAGAAUCGGUGAACAGAAGCUCAGACAAGGUGAAGAAGCUGCUCCCGUUGAAGAGAAAGCGCGAGAGGUGA